UACAGGGGGGGCAAGCGUUGCUCGGAAUUACUGGGCGUAAAGGGCUCGUAGGUGGCCAACUAAGCCAGACGUGAAAUCCCUCAGCUUAACUGGGGAACUGCGUCUGAUACUGGAUGGCUUGAGUUUGGGAGAGGGAUGCGGAAUUCCAGGUGUAGCGGUGAAAUGCGUAGAUAUCAAGUGGAACACCAGUGGCGAAGGCGAGUCUCUGGACAUUUCCUGACGCUGAGGCACGAAAGCCAGGGGAGCAAACGGG
rnacentral:rRNA from 1 species